CACUGCCGAGAAAAGCCUCUAGAUAGAAAAUAGGUGCCCGUACCGCAAACCGACACAGGUAGUCAAGAUGAGAAUUCUAAGGUGAGCGAGCGAACUCUCGUUAAGGAACUCGGCAAAAUGACCCCGUAACUUCGGGAGAAGGGGUGCUCUUUAGGGUUAACGCCCAGAAGAGCCGCAGUGAAUAGGCCCAAGCGACUGUUUAUCAAAAACACAGGUCUCUGCUAAACCGUAAGGUGAUGUAUAGGGGCUGACGCCUGCCCGGUGCUGGAAGGUUAAGAGGAGUGGUUAGCUUCUGCGAAGCUACGAAUCGAAGCCCCAGUAAACGGCGGCCGUAACUAUAACGGUCCUAAGGUAGCGAAAUUCCUUGUCGGGUAAGUUCCGACCCGCACGAAAGGCGUAACGAUUUGGGCACUGUCUCAACGAGAGACUCGGUGAAAUCAUAGUACCUGUGAAGAUGCAGGUUACCCGCGACAGGACGGAAAGACCCCGUGGAGCUUUACUGUAGCCUGAUAUUGAAAUUCGGCACAGCUUGUACAGGAUAGGUAGGAGCCUUUGAAACGUGAGCGCUAGCUUACGUGGAGGCGCUGGUGGGAUACUACCCUAGCUGUGUUGGCUUUCUAACCCGCACCACUUAUCGUGGUGGGAGACAGUGUCAGGCGGGCAGUUUGACUGGGGCGGUCGCCUCCUAAAAGGUAACGGAGGCGCUCAAAGGUUCCCUCAGAAUGGUUGGAAAUCAUUCAUAGAGUGUAAAGGCAUAAGGGAGCUUGACUGCGAGACCUACAAGUCGAGCAGGGUCGAAAGACGGACUUAGUGAUCCGGUGGUUCCGCAUGGAAGGGCCAUCGCUCAACGGAUAAAAGCUACCCCGGGGAUAACAGGCUUAUCUCCCCCAAGAGUUCACAUCGACGGGGAGGUUUGGCACCUCGAUGUCGGCUCAUCGCAUCCUGGGGCUGUAGUCG
rnacentral:rRNA from 1 species